AAUAUUGGUCAAUGGAGGCAACUCUGAACUAGCCAAGUCGCGUGAAGGAUGACUGCCCUACGGGUUAUAAACUUCUGUUUUAAGGGAAUAAAGUGAGCCACGUGUGGGUUUUUGCAUGUACCUUACGAAUAAGUAUCGGCUAACUCCGUGCCAGCAGCUCCGGUAAUACGGAGGAUCCGAGCGUUAUCCGGAUUUAUUGGGUUUAAAGGGUGCGCAGGCGGAAUAUUAUGUCGUGGAUGAAAGUUUGCAGCUUAACUGUAAAAUUGCCGUUGAUACUGGUAUUCUUGAGUGUAUAUGAAGUAGGCGGAAUUUGUAGUGUCGCGGUGAAAUGCAUAGUUAUUACAAGGAACUCCGAUUGCGAAGGCAGCUUACUAAAAUACAACUGGCGCUUAGGCACGAAGGCGUGGGGAUCAAACA
rnacentral:rRNA from 1 species